rnacentral:pre_miRNA from 1 species
UUACUGACGUUUUGACUGGAGGACCAGUCUUCAACUCAAAAUGAAGACUGGUCCUCCAGUCGAAACGUCAGUAAA